rnacentral:misc_RNA from 1 species
GAUGAAGAACGCAGCGAAAUGCGAUACUUGGUGUGAAUUGCAGAAUCCCGUGAACCAUCGAGUUUUUGAACGCAAGUUGCGCCCGAAGCCGUUAGGCGGAGGGCACGCCUGCCUGGGUGUCACACAUCGUUGCCCCAAUGCCAAUCGCCUCACUUUGUAGGUAUUUGCUUGGGGUGAAUGUUGGCCUCCCGUGAGCUUUGUCUCACGGUUGGUUGAAAAUCGAGUGCAUGGUGUCGGGUGUACCAUGAUGGAUGGUGGUUGAGUGAUGAUGCUCGGUGACCCACAUGCGUCCCUUGGAUGCUCCCUAAGGAGACCUCAGGUCAGGCGGGGCUACCCGCUGAGUUUAAGCAUAUCAAUAAGCGGAGGA